rnacentral:sRNA from 1 species
GCUGGGUACCAUGGUGCAUGCCUGUAAUCCCAGUGGCUCAGGAGGCUGAGGCAGGAGGAUCUCGAGUUCAAAGCCAGCCUCAGCAACUUGGUGAGGUCCUAAACAACUCUGUGAGAUCCUGUCUCUU